rnacentral:rRNA from 1 species
CAGCAGCCACGGUAAUACGAAGGGGGCUAGCGUUGCUCGGAAUCACUGGGCGUAAAGGGUGCGUAGGCGGGUCUUUAAGUCAGGGGUGAAAUCCUGGAGCUCAACUCCAGAACUGCCUUUGAUACUGAAGAUCUUGAGUUCGGGAGAGGUGAGUGGAACUGCGAGUGUAGAGGUGAAAUUCGUAGAUAUUCGCAAGAACACCAGAGGCGAAGGCGGCUUACUGGCUCGAAACUGACGCUGAGGCGCGAAAGCGUGGGGAGCAAACAGGAUUAGAUACCCGCGUAGUCCCUGUCUCUUAUAC